rnacentral:rRNA from 1 species
UACGGGGGGGGCAAGCGUUGUUCGGAAUUACUGGGCGUAAAGGGUGCGUAGGCGGCUUUCUAAGUCGGAUGUGAAAUCCCUCGGCUCAACCAAGGAAGUGCAUCCGAAACUGCUGUGCUUGAGUACGAAAGAGGAUCGCGGAAUUCCCGGUGUAGAGGUGAAAUUCGUAGAUAUCGGGAGGAACACCAGUGGCGAAGGCGGCGAUCUGGGUCGAUACUGACGCUGAGGUGCGAAAGCGUGGGGAGCAAACAGG